UUUAGUGAGGGAAAUUUUAAGUUUGAUUGUGGCUUAGGUUUGGUUAAGAUGGUGUUAUCUAGUUUUGAUUCAUUUGGUGGGCAAUGAGUAUUGACCCUGGCAGAGUGUCAUUUGUAUAUAGCCUGUUCCAGAAUAAUCGGCUAGGCAGGUUAAGUUGGAACUCUAAUUGUUUUAAAAUUAGGUUUGGAAGUGGUGUGUUAAGAGUUCUAAGGUGAAAUUGGGUAUUGUUUGUGUGAGGGACCUGAUUUGUGAGAUUUAAUCGAUGAACCAGAUUAGUACCUGGGUAAUUAAAAUUAAUGAGAGCAGGAGUAAAGUGAUGUUUAAACUGAAACAAUAUUGGCAGGUUUCUAAAUUAUCUUUGAAGGUUGAACUGUGAUUGAGAGCCCUCAUUUACGGCUUUGAUUUUUGUCUUAUGUAUGAUCGUUUUUCUUAUUCUUAAGGAUUGUGAGUUUAAGUUGUUAGUUGUAAAAAUAGAUAUAUAUUUAGUUUAUGUUGAAGUUUGUUUUGACCUACAAUACUUAUUGGUGUGGAUCAGAGAGGUAGGGAAUUCUGUGAAAAUGUAAAAGACAGUAAGUUGCUUUUUAUGGGUAGCUGAAGAUUUAUUUAGGGACGGUACAAAUCAUCCAUCAAUUGCCCAAAGGGGAGUAAGUUGUAGUAAAGUAGGGCUAGGGGAACCUGGCCCUAGUAGAGG
rnacentral:ncRNA from 1 species